GAUACGUAGCCAAGUCGUGCUUAGUAAGAUGGGAGGGAGCAGCCGAAGGUGGAGCCAAUGACUGGGGUGAAGUCGUAACAAGGUAGCCGUAUCGGAAGGUGCGGCUGGAUCACCUCCUUU
rnacentral:rRNA from 1 species